AAAGUACAAUGACAUCUUUAAAAGUAAGUAAGUAAGUAAGUAUUCAUCUUUAAGAAAUCAUUAAAUGCAUGUGAAUGUUCUCUAAUUUUGUUUAUAUAUAUUGUUUAUAUAUAUAUAUAAAGGGACCAAUGAGUUACAGUUUCUGUGCCAGCACAUAUCAUAAGAAAUUGAUUUAGUAUUAUGUCUUCAGUGCAGGGGCCAUAACAGGAGCUAGGACCAGCUCUGCAGGGGCACUGGCCCCUCUUGGCUCCUGUCUGGAACAGCCCAUGCAUGCAAGAAACUUACCAUUUCCACACAUUCCCUCCAAAAUAUCUUCCACAGUUUGGGUCUGAUUUUCACUCUCAGUAUCUGAUCCAAACAAAAAACACAAAAUUACAGAAUGUUAAAAUUGUUCUUAAUGUGUCCUUCCAAAAAGUUGAAAUAGUUAUAUCAUAUAAAUCAACAUUGCUAAUUAGAAUAGAAUACAAAAUAAAAAGCCUUUAUUGUCCCACAGUGGGGAAAUUCAGGUGUGAUUGUGGCAAAGCAAAAAGGCAAAUAGAAGCAUACAGAUACACACAUCACCAAAAAACUAUAGAAAAACUUACAGGAAUAAAAAACUUUGAGAAUCACAAAAAUAACAGGAAUCAGAUAACUAAUAAAAGCUUUGAUUUAGACAGAAAAUGGUCACCAAAACAUUGCAAUUACCCUUGUCUUGAUAUUUAUAAAUCCAUCCGAAUAGUUAACAACUGUAGCCUUGGACAUAUUUCAGGAUAAAUUGGUUUGGUCUGUUUGGUUCAGUUGACAGCUUCAGGUCAGGGUUUUUGAUGGUAACUAUUCUAUCACAGACCAUUAGUGCCAAUAACCAUGUACAGUAGAUAUCUGUAGUUAUACAAUAAAUUGGACUGACACUGUGAAGAUCAAAUCUGAUGUGUUUAACUGAUCCUAACAAUAUCCAUACAAUCUAAAUACAAACUGUAUGAUUAAGGCAGCCCAAAAAUAGCCCCUUAUUAUAACAAGCAAAAUGUACCCAGGUAUACCUGAGACCUUUACUAAAAGAUGAAAAACAUUAUGUUUAUGUAACAUAAUCUCAAGACAUACAUUUGCAGUCAUCACCACGAUAUCACACGUUUGAACUGCCUCCUGGAGGAGGAUUAUCGGCACUGAAAAUCAAAGAAAAAAAAAAAAAAAAGAAUAAUUUAGUUAGAGAUGGAGGACUUUUAUUUGUAUCAAAGCUUUAAAAUCAUUCAGUGUUGAUCUCCCAUCAGGAAAACACUUAAAGCAGAGCUUCCCCUCCCUGUAAAGACUGACAGGUAAAGCCACGUUUGUGGCAUGUGAUUAAGGGAGCUUCAAUACCUUAUUGUCCUUUCAGUUCAAGCUGUUUUUAGUAUAUCUGUUCAAAUCAAAUAUUCAUGAUUCUGCCAAAUAGGCUGUGGCCACCCGGAAUGUUAUCAACUCAUUAAAUGGCCGUUAUUAGUAGUUAUCAUCCCCAUUGGAUGCUAUCAGAUGGUCCCUCCUGUGCCUCCUAGUGGGCCCAGUAGGUCGUUAUCACCAAUUAGUAAGGUGAAUUGCUGCUGGGUCGCAGCUUUAAUGGAUGGACCUGUUCACUUCACACAGGAGCGACGUCACGUGUUAGCAGGUAAUUCCCAAAUGAUGUGCAUUUCUUCCGUUUUCGCAUUACUUUCUCAUUAACAUAACCCGUAUUAGAAAGAAAAGGUGCAACUUUGUUUGAUAGUGUUGCCUGAAAAUCGUUUAUUACUUUUGUGAUGGCGAUGCUAACGUAUUUGCGACAGUGGUAUAUUUAGAGCGAUGCUAACGUAUUUGCGACAGUGGUAUAUUUAGAGCGAUGCUAACGUAUUUGCGACAGUGGUAUAUUUAGAGCGAUGCUAACGUAUUUGCGACAGUGGUAUAUUUAGAGUGAUGCUAACGUCAAAUCCACGUGAUUGUUUAGAAACGAAUAACGUAACUAACGCUAAGUUACCCUUUGGGUUUCAUUGAGUAAUAAUAUUCUCAAUUUGACAAGAUAAUUGUUGCUAGCAUUUUAGUUAGAUGAGUUGGGCAACUGACCUGCAUUAAAUUUACAUAGCUGUGCUCACAGUGAUUUGACGUCUGUGUCUUUGAAUUGCUUUAUAACCUUAACAGCACCGUCACCUGAACUGUCUUAUAGUUAAUGUUGGAACAACUGGGUGAUUAGUCACUCAUAAUUCAAUACCCUUUCUGUCAAAAUAGCGCCAUGUCUGCAAAUAUUCAUGCAGCACUACCUGAAAAACAUGUUAGCUUCUUUUUAGAAAUAUUUAUGUUUUUGUCUUUCUUUUAGGCUCAAUGUCAAGAAGAGAGAGAACUUUCAUAUCAGAUGAGCAAAAAGAUCUGCGCUCCAAGAAGGAAUGACCAGUGUGGUCUCACCAAUGAUAGCUGCAGCGGCGGAGGCCACUGGUUUGGCACCAGUUGUUAUAGACAACUGGAUUGGAAAUUAUAGAAGGUCUCUAAAAACGCCGGCCUUUCCUAAACCACAGAAGACCAAACUGUACACACGAGAACUUUCAGCUUACAAUCUUUUUUGCAGGGAUCUCCUGCGGAACAAGGGUAUCCAGUCUUGAGAUCCUGGGGGUGGAAACUGCUGCGAUGUUGUUCUAUUGUCAGAAGCCCAACUUAGAAGUACUUGAAGUAAGCAGCAAAGGAGCUGCUGCUUUUUUGGAUUCAACUGAGACCCUCAGCAGUUUUGCUUUGCAUUUUAAAGGAAGCUCUUCUUCUGCUUCUGCUGCCAAAGAGACAGUUGAUGCCCUAGUUAAGAAGGUGCAGGAGGUAUUCAACCAAAAAUACAAUGACGCGGGAGGCAGUGGGAGGCUACCGUACCAGUCUCUUCAAAAUCAUAGCAUCAUCAUAAAUGCUUCUGGACUACCUAACGGCCUGACCCUGAAAAAGCCAUCCCACUAUGGAAGAAAACAGUUAUUUUUAAAAGCUGCAGAGCAAAUUUCUUUUCAUAUAGAUGUACAGAGUGUUGAGGAGGCAGUUCAAACGUGUGAUAUCGUGGUGAUGACUGCAAAUAUACUGAGAGUGAAAAUCAGACCCAAACUGUGGAAGAUAUUUUGGAGGGAAUGUGUGGAAAUGGUAAGUUUCUUGCAUGCAUGGGCUGUUCCAGACAGGAGCCAAGAGGGGCCAGUGCCCCUGCAGAGCUGGUCCUAGCUCCUGUUAUGGCCCCUGCACUGAAGACAUAAUACUAAAUCAAUUUCUUAUGAUAUGUGCUGGCACAGAAACUGUAACUCAUUGGUCCCUUUAUAUAUAUAUAUAAACAAUAUAUAUAAACAAAAU